rnacentral:rRNA from 1 species
AGCGUAGGCGGACAUUUAAGUCAGGGGUGAAAUCCCGGGGCUCAACCUCGGAAUUGCCUUUGAUACUGGGUGUCUUGAGUAUGAGAGAGGUGUGUGGGACUCCGAGUGUAGAGGUGAAAUUCGUAGAUAUUCGGAAGAACACCAGUGGCGAAGGCGACACACUGGCUCAUUACUGACGCUGAGGCUCGAAAGCGUGGGGAGCAAACA